UUCCAUUCUUAUGACCUUCAUGCAGGAGGCAGGCAAGGCCUUCUCGGUGCUUUCCAGAGAAACUUAGAAAAAACAACCGUAUUUCUUCAAAGCCAUACAAAGUCAAUUUCUGGGAGUAAGGAUGGCAAGGGAGGAAAAGGAAACCCAUGUAAAUAACGGGGAACACGUCUGCUGCCUUCUGGUACAGAGGAGAGAACAGAGGGGACCUAGGUUGAGACGCUCUGGCCUGCUGCUUUGCUGCUCCCACAACUUUGAAGGUUCAGCUUCCUCAUUUGUAAAAUGAGGGAGAAGGACUUGGAUGGUCUCCAGAGUCUCCUCCAGUUCAAAAUCCAUGAAAUUACGAAAUCUCGAGGUUUCAGGAGAUUUCCUAGGUUGAUGUUCCUUUCCCAUUAGAAUCAAAGAACAGGAGCCAAGCCAUCAUAAGCAGGCAGCAGUGGCUUGGAGGCCUAACCAUUGGAUUUGGAGAUGAGAGUCCUGGUCUGAAUCCUAGCUCUUAGGCAUCUGGGGUCCAGCGCUCUAUCCUAUGUACCCAUUAGCUGACAUCUUUGAAUAGUGUAAUGAAUCCUGGACAAGGGACCAAAGGCUCAGAUUUUGUCCAGGCUCUGUUACUUACCAGCUGUAUAUUUUGGCUCCAGAACUGGUUGGGACUCCAAUUAUUUCAGUGGCAUAAAUCGGAGCCUGGGAAUCAUGCAACACCUGACAAGUGAUAUUCACAGCUUCUUUCUGCCCAGACAUGUUGACCAUGAGUG